rnacentral:tRNA from 1 species
GGAGAAAUGGCUCAGCAGUUUUAGAGCACUGGUUGCUUUUCCAGAGGACCUGGGUUCAAUUCCCAGCAUCUACA